rnacentral:rRNA from 1 species
UACGGAGGAUCCAAGCGUUAUCCGGAAUCAUUGGGUUUAAAGGGUUCGUAGGCGGUUUUGUAAGUCAGUGGUGAAAGCCCAUGGCUCAACGGUGGAACGGCCAUUGAUACUGCAAGACUUGAAUUAUUGGGAAGUAACUAGAAUAUGUAGUGUAGCGGUGAAAUGCUUAGAGAUUACAUGGAAUACCAAUUGCGAAGGCAGGUUACUGCCAAUAUAUUGACGCUGAUGGACGAAAGCGUGGGGAGCGAACAGG